rnacentral:rRNA from 1 species
GUCUACAGCCAUACAUGUCCAAUCUUAUCUGAUCUCAGAAGCUAAGCAGGGUUGAGUCUGGUUAGUACUUGGAUGGGAGAAACCUAGUACCUGUUGGCA